UGCGGGAUCGUCUAGUGGUAGGACACGGGACUUUGGAUCCCGGUACCUAGGUUCAAAUCCUAGUCCCGCAG
rnacentral:tRNA from 1 species